AUGGCUCAGGAUGAACGCUAGCUACAGGCUUAACACAUGCAAGUCGAGGGGCAGCAUUGGAGUAGCAAUACUCAGAUGGCGACCGGCGCACGGGUGAGUAACACGUAUCCAACCUGCCGCUUACUCGGGGAUAGCCUUUCGAAAGAAAGAUUAAUACCCGAUGGUAUAAAGAGUUCGCAUGUUCUCUUUAUUAAAGAAUUUCGGUAAGCGAUGGGAUGCGUUCCAUUAGAUAGUUGGCGGGGUAACGGCCCACCAAGUCUACGAUGGAUAGGGGUUCUGAGAGGAAGGUCCCCCACAUUGGAACUGAGACACGGUCCAAACUCCUACGGGAGGCAGCAGUGAGGAAUAUUGGUCAAUGGACGAGAGUCUGAACCAGCCAAAGUAGCGUGAAGGAUGACUGCCCUAUGGGUUGUAAACUUCUUUUAUAAGGGAAUAAAGUGAGGGACGUGUCCCUUUUUGUAUGUACCUUAUGAAUAAGGAUCGGCUAACUCCGUGCCAGCCGCCGC
rnacentral:rRNA from 1 species